rnacentral:tRNA from 1 species
GUCCUGAUAGUAUAAACAUUACACUGGUCUUGUAAACCAGAAAUGAAAAACCCCUCAUUUUCUCAGGACA